CAAGCGGUGGAUGAUGUGGAUUAAUUCGAUGCAACGCGAAGAACCUUACUACCCUUGACAUGUCCGGAACUUGCCAGAGAUGGCUUGGUGCCCGAAAGGGAAUCGGAACACAGGUGCUGCAUGGCUGUCGUCAGCUCGUGUCGUGAGAUGUUGGGUUAAGUCCCGCAACGAGCGCAACCCUUAUCAUUAGUUGCUACGCAAGGGCACUCUAAUGAGACUGCCGGUGACAAACCGGAGGAAGUGGGGAUGACGUCAAGUCCUCAUGGCCCUUAUGGGUAGGGCUUCACACGUCAUACAAUGGUCGGUACAGAGGGUUGCCAAGCCGCGAGGCGGAGCCAAUCCCACAAAGCCGAUCGUAGUCCGGAUUGUUCUCUGCAACUCGAGAGCAUGAAGUCGGAAUCGCUAGUAAUCGCAGGUCAGCAUACUGCGGUGAAUACGUUCCCGGGUCUU
rnacentral:rRNA from 1 species